rnacentral:tRNA from 1 species
GGGGAAUUAGCUCAGCUGGGAGAGCGCCGCCCUUGCAAGGCGGAGGUCACCGGUUCGAGUCCGGUAUUCUCCACCA